rnacentral:rRNA from 1 species
GACGAACGCUGGCGGCGUGCCUAAUACAUGCAAGUAGAACGCUGAAGGAAGGAGCUUGCUCUUUCUGGAUGAGUUGCGAACGGGUGAGUAACGCGUAGGUAACCUGCCUGGUAGCGGGGGAUAACUAUUGGAAACGAUAGCUAAUACCGCAUAAAAUUGAUUAUUGCAUGAUAGUCAAUUAAAAGGUGCAACUGCACCACUACCAGAUGGACCUGCGUUGUAUUAGCUAGUUGGUGGGGUAACGGCUCACCAAGGCGACGAUACAUAGCCGACCUGAGAGGGGGAUCGCCCACAUGGGAACUGAGACACGGUCCGGACUCCUACGGGAGCCAGCAGAAGGGAACCUUCCGCAAGGGGCGAAAGCCGAACGGGGCAACGCGGCGGGAGGGAGGAAGGUCUUCGGAUCGUAAAACUCGGUGUAUAGGGAAGAACAAUGGUGGAAGGAACUGUGCACGUCGUGACGGUACCUAAUCAGAAAGCCACGGCUAACUACGUG